rnacentral:rRNA from 1 species
AUGGCUGUGUUUGAAAGUUUCUAUCAGCUGGCUGACGGAGAUUUUGGCGCGCUGAACCGUGCCCUCAUCGUGAUGCUGCCCAAAAAGGAUGGUGCAAUUCAAAUGGGUGACUUCAGGCCCAUCAGCCUGAUACAUUCAGUGGCUAAGUUGAUCACAAAGGUGCUGUCCAUCAGGCUUGCAGGUGUAUUGGAUCAACUGAUCCCUCCAGCACAAAGCGCAUUCCAAAGGAAGAAAGGAAUCCAUGACAGUUUUCUCUACGUCCAGAACUGCGUCAGAAAAUUUUAG